rnacentral:rRNA from 1 species
GAUGAACGCUGGCGGCGUGCCUAAUACAUGCAAGUCGAGCGAACAGACGAGGAGCUUGCUCCUCUGACGUUAGCGGCGGACGGGUGAGUAACACGUGGAUAACCUACCUAUAAGACUGGGAUAACUUCGGGAAACCGGAUCUAAUACCGGAUAAUAUAUUGAACCGCAUGGUUCAAUAGUGAAAGACGGUUUUGCUGUCACUUAUAGAUGGAUCCGCGCCGCAUUAGCUAGUUGGUAAGGUAACGGCUUACCAAGGCAACGAUGCGUAGCCGACCUGAGAGGGUGAUCGGCCACACUGGAACUGAGACACGGUCAAGACUCCUACGGGAGGCAGCAGUAGGGAAUCUUCCGCAAUGGGCGAAAGCCUGACGGAGAAAGGCCGCGUGAGGGAGGAAGGUCUUCGGAUCGUAAAACUCUGUUAUAAGGGAAGAACAAAUGUGUAAGUAAAUAUGCACGUCUUGACGGUACCUAAUCAGAAAGCCACGGCUAACUACGUG